UUCUAUAUGCAGUUUUCGGAAUAUUAGCCAACGAAAAACUGCCUGGAGCAUAGGUUCGUUUAUAUAUGGUUCGGUUUCUACCACCAGCCGAAAAGGCACCACACGAAAGAUUGGCGUCGUUCUAAAGUGAAAUCGAUUUCGAUAGCUAUGUCAAGUACGUUCGGACGCAAGGUGAUGCUUGUACUUCAAACGGAUAUCAAGUAUGUGUCGAGUUUGCUAUUUCGAGUUCCUUAAAAGACCCAACGGAUCGUCGACACAGCAGUUGAAAUCUUGGGUCUGACUGCCGGCUGAUAAUAAUGCGGUAUCAGUUUAUCGACAUGCUAGAUCGUGACUCCGCUCUAAAGGAUGUGCUUGUAAUACGGUCCGAUCCGUUCAACUGAAAUUGUAUCUUGGAGGGACGGUGAUACCGCAGACGUCAGCCGUUCCAACGAUAACCCGGAGGCAUCAUGUCAACUAUAUAGCAAUCAUCUCAGUGGUCCAAUGCGCCGAGAGAUACGGGAGCUUGUCUUUUAAGGUCACGUCAUCGGAUUAAUCCGCUGACGACGUGGGACAGGAGCUCGGAUCUGAUGUGUAAAGUGGUGCUAGAAAAGGUGAAAAUUCAUGACGGCCUUAUUUCGUUGCACAAUCUAACGCAUUAUGUUAUGGACACUGGACGUAUCGGAACAGUUUCAGACCCGACUGCAAUUAAAUUGUCUCCCGUGCCGCUUCUAUGUCUGGCCGUGGCCGCCCGCAGAACACCGGCGAGCGAUAAGCGUCAGACCACAUGGUCUGAA